rnacentral:rRNA from 1 species
CUGAAGUAACAAAUGCCCUGCUUCCAGGAAAAGCCUCUAAGCAUCAGGUAACAUCAAAUCGUACCCCAAACCGACACAGGUGGUCAGGUAGAGAAUACCAAGGCGCUUGAGAGAACUCGGGUGAAGGAACUAGGCAAAAUGGUGCCGUAACUUCGGGAGAAGGCACGCUGGUGUGUAGGUGAAGUCCCUGCGGAUGGAGCUGAGACCAGUCGAAGAUACCAGCUGGCUGCAACUGUUUAUUAAAAACACAGCACUGUGCAAACACGAAAGUGGACGUAUACGGUGUGACGCCUGCCCGGUGCCGGAAGGUUAAUUGAUGGGGUUAUCCGUAAGGAGAAGCUCUUGAUCGAAGCCCCGGUAAACGGCGGCCGUAACUAUAACGGUCCUAAGGUAGCGAAAUUCCUUGUCGGGUAAGUUCCGACCUGCACGAAUGGCGUAAUGAUGGCCAGGCUGUCUCCACCCGAGACUCAGUGAAAUUGAACUCGCUGUGAAGAUGCAGUGUACCCGCGGCAAGACGGAAAGACCCCGUGAACCUUUACUAUAGCUUGACACUGAACAUUGAGCCUUGAUGUGUAGGAUAGGUGGGAGGCUUUGAAGCGUGGACGCCAGUCUGCGUGGAGCCAACCUUGAAAUACCACCCUUUAAUGUUUGAUGUUCUAACGUUGGCCCCUUAUCGGGGUUGCGGACAGUGUCUGGUGGGUAGUUUGACUGGGGCGGUCUCCUCCCAAAGCGUAACGGAGGAGCACGAAGGUUAGCUAAUCCUGGUCGGACAUCAGGAGGUUAGUGCAAUGGCAUAAGCUAGCUUGACUGCGAGCGUGACGGCGCGAGCAGGUGCGAAAGCAGGUCAUAGUGAUCCGGUGGUUCUGAAUGGAAGGGCCAUCGCUCAACGGAUAAAAGGUACUCCGGGGAUAACAGGCUGAUACCGCCCAAGAGUUCAUAUCGACGGCGGUGUUUGGCACCUCGAUGUCGGCUCAUCACAUCCUGGGGCUGAAGUAGGUCCCAAGGGUAUGGCUGUUCGCCAUUUAAAGUGGUACGCGAGCUGGGUUUAGAACGUCGUGAGACAGUUCGGUCCCUAUCUGCCGUGGGCGCUGGAGAAUUGAGGGGGGCUGCUCCUAGUACGAGAGGACCGGAGUGGACGCAUCACUGGUGUUCGGGUUGUCAUGCCAAUGGCACUGCCCGGUAGCUAAAUGCGGAAGAGAUAAGUGCUGAAAGCAUCUAAGCACGAAACUUGCCCCGAGAUGAGUUCUCCCUGAGACUUUAAGUCUCCUGAAGGAACGUUAAAGACGAUGACGUUGAUAGGCCGGGUGUGUAAGCGCAGCGAUGCGUUGAGCUAACCGGUACUAAUGAACCGUGAGGCUUAACCUUACAACGCCGAAG